AUGCCUUAACAUGCAGUCGAACGGCAGCACGGGAGCAUCCUGGUGGCGAGUGGCGAACGGGUGAGUAACAUAUCGGAACGUGCCCAGUCGUGGGGGAUAACGUAGCGAAAGCUACGCUAAUACCGCAUACGAUCUAUGGAUGAAAGCGGGGGAUCGCAAGACCUCGCGCGAUUGGAGCGGCCGAUAUCAGAUUAGGUUGUUGGUGGGGUAAAAGCCCACCAAGCCGACGAUCUGUAGCUGGUCUGAGAGGACGACCAGCCACACUGGGACUGAGACACGGCCCAGACUCCUACGGGAGGCAGCAGUGGGGAAUUUUGGACAAUGGGCGCAAGCCUGAUCCAGCAAUGCCGCGUGCAGGAUGAAGGCCUUCGGGUUGUAAACUGCUUUUGUACGGAACGAAACGGACCUCUCCAAUACAGAGGGUCAAUGACGGUACCGUGAGAAUAAGCACCGGCUAACUACGUGCCAGCAGCCGCGGUAAUACGUAGGGUGCGAGCGUUAAUCGGAAUUACUGGGCGUAAAGCAGUGAGCAGGCGGAAUGUAAGACAGAUGUGAAAUCACAGGGAUAAAACUGGGACCUGAAUUUGUGAUGCAAAGCUAGAGUGCG
rnacentral:rRNA from 1 species